UCGGACAUGGUGUACGGAACACCUCCAGCUUUCCUCAGGUUCUCGUACAGAACAGUUGCUGGCAGUCCGGGGUUCGACUCCCCGUGUCCGAA